AACGAACGCUGGCGGCGGGCCUAACACAUGCAAGUCGAACGGAACUUGCGGGGUCAGCUGUGGAGGGGUGAGUGAGGUUUGGGAAUAUGCCCUUCUCUACGGACUACUCCUGGGAACGAGGGGGUAAUACCGCUUGCGCUCCUAGGGGGCAGGAUUUAUCGGAGAAGGAUUUGCCCGCGUUGGUUUAGGGAGUUGGAGGGGGUAUGGCCUACCCAGCCGGUGAUCCGUAGAUGGUUUGAGAAGAUGAACAGCCACACUGGGACUGAGACACGGCCCAGACUCCUACGGGAGGCAGCAGUGGUGGAUCAUCGACAACGGGGCGAACCCUGAUCUGGCCAUGCCGCGUGGGUGAUGAACGCCUUAGGGUCGUAAAGCGCUUUCAGCUGGGAAGAUGAUGACGGUACCCGCAGAAGAAGCCCGGGCUAACUCCUU
rnacentral:rRNA from 1 species